rnacentral:piRNA from 2 species
GAAUGGAGUAUGUGUAUCUGUGUGCGAGG